rnacentral:hammerhead_ribozyme from 1 species
GUCCAGCUGACGAGUCCCGAAUAGGACGAAACGCGCGUCCUCGAU